rnacentral:rRNA from 1 species
UACAGAGGUCCCAAGCGUUGUUCGGAUUCAUUGGGCGUAAAGGGUGCGUAGGUGGCGCCGUAAGUCGGGUGUGAAAUUUCGGAGCUUAACUCCGAAACUGCAUUCGAUACUGCUGUGCUUGAGGACUGGAGAGGAGACUGGAAUUCAUGGUGUAGCAGUGAAAUGCGUAGAGAUCAUGAGGAAGACCAGUGGCGAAGGCGGGUCUCUGGACAGUUCCUGACACUGAGGCACGAAGGCCAGGGGAGCAAACGGG